AAAUUUCACCCAGCCCAUGACCCGAACCGACCCAGACCAUUGACCCAUUACCCCUUUACCUAAAAAAACCUAGACAAUAUCAUAAUCAGAAGACCCCCCCCCCCCUUAAAGAAGAGAGAAAAACAGCGCAUCUAGAACCAACUCCCAUUUUCUUCUUGACUAUCAUUUUCAACCCCAAAUCAAAAGCUUCAUCAGAGAGCCCUCACACUCAAAAAAUCGGACCCUCCUCUCUACAAGAAAUAGGGCAUCGGCGCAAAAGAGAGAUCUGAACCCCAUCUCCCCUCAUCUCUCACUCUCUCAUUCAUUGAUGUACACACACACGAAAGAGCUGAGAAGUUUUGGUUUUUGUUUUCUUGGGGAAAUUCACAAAAAAAGGAAAAAGAAAAGAGUUUCAAAGUCAGAUUUGGAACCAAAACUUUGGAAAAGCAUAAUCAAAUAAGUAUUGAAGACGAGUUAGUCACUGGAACUUUAAAACUCAAAUCCUUCUCCUUUCGUGUUUACAAAAGCUGUUGAAGAUGGGAUUCAUUUGGGUUUCAUGCUGAUUUUUGUGGCUUCUGUUUUGAUUGAGCUUGAUUUUCGUCAUUGUUUCCUUUCUAAAUCUAGAGAUAUACUUCCUUAUUGUUUUGUUCUGCUGUAAUCAGGUACGACACUUUGGUUGAAUAAUAUAAAGCUCAUAUUUGCUUGGGUGAGAUUUGUAUGGAAUUAUUCCGAUUUCAUCUAUUUUAUUUCUACGACUGAUUGAUAGCCAGUUUUGUUUUCUUUUUGCGAGUUUGCUAAACUAUUGUGAUUUGUUUGAAAUGUGAUGAUGAAUUUAAAGUUUGAGUCUAGUAUGCUUACUCUGUAAAAUAAGGAAAAGGAAGGAUUGAAAUCUGUACUUUUUCUUUUGUUGAGUAAAAUGGGUUGAAGGAUAAAAUUUGAGUAAGCACGGGAAAAACAGAACAAAGAUAGAUCCGAAAAUUUCAGCCAUAAACCAACUUUGAGGUUCAUGUUCCGCUCGUAAAAUCGAGUUUUUGAGUAAUUCAUUUUGAUGAGGCAUUACUGGUUAGACCCUACUGAUAUUGUGAAGUGGUAAUAUCCUGUUGCUUAACUUGCAAAUGUCGAGAAAUAUUGGUUGAAGCAGAAACAAAUCGAUUUAGUUCUUCGAUAAAAUUUAUUUAUAUGUGGAUCUGUUCUUUUGUAUUUGAGCAUGUCUUGGAGUUGUUAUAUUAAUUCUCGGGUUCAUCUCGCUUUUUCUGAUUUGCACAUGACUACAGUACAUUGCUUAUGAAUACUUGAUCUCUAUUUUUAUUCUAGUGUCUUGUUUAUUUUGCCUUAUUUGUUUGUUCAUGUGAAAAACAUUUCCUGUUUCUGCCCUUAUUCUAAUUGUCAUCAUGAUGUUUUCAUUUUGAUGAGGCAUUUUAGUUCUUGUUUGUUAAUUUGUCAUUCUGAUUGAUGGAGAUUUGGGGGGCAUGACAGUAUUUAGGCCACAAAUAGAUAAGGAGUGCACAUGAUAGUUUUGGAUUGCAAAAGCGUUAAAGUUUGGGCCUGUAUUAUUGAAUUUUAUUGGGCCCAAACGUCAAUAGGACUACAAACUAGCCCACCUUUCCAUAAUUAAUUUACCUCAUUUCUUCCGCAAUGAACAUCGUAGUUUGCUUUAGGCACGAACUUGACAAAUGUUGGUUUUAAAUAAUGAAUGGCUAGUAAUUAAGUACAAUCCUUUAAAAUAAAUUGAGGCGUGCCAUUCACAAUUGAAUCCCAUAAUCUAUGGCCCUCACAUUAAAUACCAAAACUAGUGUGAAAAAUACUUGGAACAUUUAUAAUUAGUGUAGAAAACACUUUGAACAUUCAUAGUUUGCUUUAGGCACGUUUAUAAUAAAAUAAUCAUAGCUACGGGUACGGUUCCCGUGACGUAGUUGUGAUACAUAAUUUCUAAAUUCGGGGGAUACAUUUAUGUGACUCGACCACAACUUCUAAUAACGUUAAUAAAUUAAACAUGUUGUAGAUCGUGGGUACAGUUCCCGUGACACGAUUCGCAAUGUGUAUCAAACAAACAAGUGUACGACAAUCAUUACAUGUUCCAGAAUAAUUCCAUAAUUAAUUAAAAGCGGUUAUAAAGUUAAAAAUGCACAAUAAGUUUUAAAAUAUGUAAUAAAUCAGAUAAUAGGCCAAUUAUUAAUAGUUAAGCGACCGUGUUAGAACCACGGAACCCGGGAAUGCCUAACACCUUCUCCCGGGUUAAUAGAAUUCCUUAUCUAGAAUUUCUGGUUUCGCAGACUUUUAAAUAAAGUCGAUUUUCCUCGAUUUGGGAUUUUAAAAAUAAACAGGUGACUUGGGACACGAAAUAAAUUAUUCCAAGUGGCGACUCUGAUUAAAAUAAAAUAAUUCCAUUUCGAUUUAUGUCACUUUAAUUGGAAAAACUCCCUUAUAUACCCCUCGGGUGUAAAAAGGAGGUGCGCUAGCUCCUUCUCCCCAGUUGCCAUGAUCUCGUACCGUUGCUCAACAAAAUUUCUCAUAAGUUCUCGUUGCACUAAUUAUAACACAUCCCGAAUUAUCAGCCACAAUCGCACACUUGACCUCCUGACAGUCUUACCCUCUUCUUUAAGCGAUCCAAGCUCACAUCACAGUACAUGCAUCCCAUUGGAUAGAAGGCAUAACUUUUAUAGGAACUUCAUCAAGAGUCAUGCAACCCUAACCUUCUCACAAGAUAUAGCCCACCUAUGUAACCUUAUACCGACAUCCUCCAACGGCAUAGCCACAACCACGUCCAUUAUGAUAUCAGUUGAUUCUCCUAGGUCCACACUCAUCCUCCAGCUACAAGAGUCUGUUUAUCCUAUUAGCAUCAAUUGAAGGUCCAACAACGUUCCAAAACUCGAAGUCAUGUUGCGUCCUAAACGAUAAUCAAGCUUACACAACUCUCUAUGUUCUAAGGAAAUUAACUUCCUAAGGAAACUACUCGAUCUCUGAUGCUCGUGCUUAACCUGCUAACAACUCAUCUACCCCGAUACAUAACCUUACAUGUCUUUUCUCAUCCUUAGCUACUAAAAUACUGCCUCAAAUCAUAAUCCAUAUCUGUAGCAUCUGAACUAAUGAAUGAUCCACCAACUCUAAGCCUCCAUAAAGAUCAUCUUUCUCGAGCCAUCAACACUAGAAACACCAAUUCAACCCUGAAGCUGCCACAUACCGCCAUAUCUGAUACUCGCUUCUUAGGUACCAUUUCACAACACCCAGCCCUGAAGGCAAACCAAUGAAGACCAUCAAACCAACAAGCAUAAAUGCGUUCAAAUAAAGAUGACGAUACCACUUCACAAACAAGAAUUCCACCAAGUUCAAAAAUAUCCAAUCUCGCUAAUUCGUCAACCAAAGCCUAAACAUCCAUAGUCCGAUUGCCUCUAUUCCGCUGGAGUUAAAUGCCAAAUCUCCAAACCAUGAAUUGAGAAAUACUUCUCUUGGGACAUUCACUACCAUAGCACAUAAAUAAGCACCUUAUAAUACAUUGUGCAUAACCUUAAAACAAUUCGAUUGUGCAUCACCUUGAAUCCAUUCACCUUCCUCAUUUUUGAUCUUGUGAAUAUAGAGUUUCCUUCUCCUUCCUCUUAUGAGACUGUGAAAGUAUCUUGUGUUUGUAUAACCUUCCUUUGCAAUUGUGUUUUCUACUUUAAGACUGCCUCUUCAACUUUCAAAUGCCUUACAUAUUGAGCUUGGAUUUCAUGCAAGGUUGCUAUAUCUGUAGGAUCAUUGGGGGCCAGCCAUUUUUCUUCUGCUUCUUUCACUUUCUGUUCAAGUUAUUUUGGCUUUUGAAAAAUGUCACCAUACUGUUCCCUAGACCAUUUUCUUAAUACCUUUGAAGUGGCUUUGAGCUUCUGAUGAAAGAUCCACAUGGGGUGCCCAUCAAUCUCCUUCUCCCAAGUCUUCUGGACUAAGGGUAGAAAGGUAUCAUUGUCUACCCAACACUUGAGAAAUUUGAAAUAUUUUUGGUUGGCUUCCUGUCUCACAUUCACUUCCAUUAACAAUGGUAAAUGAUCUGACCCUGCAACAGCCAAGUGUGUGAUUGUGGUUGCAGGGUAUGAAGCUAACCAAUUAUCAUUAACAAAUCCCCUAUCUAAUCUUUUCCAAACAAUAGAGCAUGGACCUCUUCUAUUAGACCAAGUGUACCUUUGACCAUUAAAACCAAGGUCCACCAAUCCACAUUCCUCAACCAUGCUCAAGAAUUCAAUACUCUUCUUCAUUUGAUAAGGAAUGCCUCCAAUUUGUUCUUCAACCGAUGCAAUCACAUUAAAAUAACCAAUGACACACCAAGGCAUAUCACAAGAGGAUCUGUGCCUUAGGUUGUCCCAUAAAGGUCUUCUCAUGUUUUGUUUUCAUUUUUCAUAGAUGACAGUCAUAUGAAAAACCUGACCAACUUCUACAUGCCUUAAUUCAAUAAUCAAAUGUUGUUCAUCUGUGUCUAGAAUUGUAUCAUUGAAGUCCUGGUUUCAGAGUAUCCAAAUUUUAUUGUUGACAUUGGAAGCUGCAUGUUGCAUGCCCAGUUGGAUUUUAUAGUAGUUGAGGUAUUUGGUGUCAAGAAAUGGUUCUAGUACAACAAUGAAGGAAAGGUUGUGAAUUUGUUACAGAAUUCUGAGUCUCUCAAUGGCUCCAGAGGUUCUGAUACCUCUUGCAUUCCAGAUUAUUGUACUAAUUAUUAAAGGAUGAUGGAUUUUUUGGAUUGUUGGUUGUUACUGGAAGCUGUAGCUGCUCUGCUUCUGGUUAAUCUUGGUGAUGGCUGUGUAAACCUUGGUGACAGCCCUUGAGAAACAAUGAUUUGGUCUUGGUAUUCUUCCCCAUUGACUGUUUUGAUGAGGAGAUCACAAUGCUGAUCAUCAUCACUGUACUCAUCAUCCCCUUCACUUCCUUUUUCUAGUUCAUCCUCUGAAAGGAUAGGUCUAUACUCAUCAUCCUGAGGUAGAUGAGCCAAAUUGUCUUCAAACACAGUCAACCUCUUCUCAGCAGUUGAAAUGUGAUUGACACCCUCUCCUUUGUCAACUAGCAGAGGUUGCAAUUCAGUGGAAUCAACUUCCAAUUGAUGAUCAUCAGUUGUAAGGUCUUCCUGCAAGGCCUCAGAAUCCUGCUGAAUUCUUAAAGCCAUUUCCUUUUUCUGUAGAUUCCUUAUUUUCUUUUGGCUGGGGUUACUCUUCUUUUUGGUUUUAACUGGUGCAGUUUCCAUAACAUGUUGUUUAUCCAUUGCCUUCUUUUUGAGUUGUGCUAUAGUUUCCUCUUCAGAAGUGACAAUAAGCAGAGGAACUUGACCAGCAACAUCAUUCGUGGUUGCAGAGGUUAAGUCCAACCUAGGUUCAAUCAUAUGUGCAUUAGCACACUCAUGUAAAACAUGAGGAAGCCCCCUUGUUUGGAUCCCCAUCUCUAAGUUCUAAGGUUUCAUCCUGCCAAACCUCCAUUCCUCCAAUGACUUCAUUAAUAGAAACACAAAGGGGAAUAUGAGGAUUGGGUUGAUUCUGGGCACCAGAAUCAGCACUCCUCUCCAGUUGAGCUGGAGGAUUGUUAGAAAUCAUACCUGAUGGUUCAGAAACCUUUUGAGUGUUUUCUUUUGAUGGGUUCUACUAUUUCUGAACAUUAGGUUGUUUAGCAAUAUACAUUGCUUGUUGCCUUUUGGUGUUGUUCUAUGCAUUUCCUUUGGAUCUUCUAUUUUUCUGAGUUUGCCAUUCCUCUUGUGAAGGGUCUGCCCCUAAAAUCUGGUGUUCCUCGUUAUCUUGUGCUUGAUCGUUUUGGUGCCUGACCUGCUGUUGGUGUUGAGGAAUCUAUUUUUGCUGAGUAUCCUGGGUUUGUUAUUUUGGUAGUUGUUGUGGUUGUUGUGUCUCUGCUGUGGUCUUUUCUUGUUGUUUGUUUUGCUAUUUGGUUGUUGCAUUGGCUUUCCUCUUUUGUAUCUCUUCAUGCUUGGCUUUUUCUGGACAUGCAUGAGUUGCAUGAUCAAGGUGUCUAAAAUAUAGGCAGUAAUUAGGGAUGCUCUCAUAUUUUAUCUCCAACCAUUAGCCAUCACCAUUUUUAUCUUGGUUAUCAUCAUAGCCCAGCCACACAUGUUGAGGUCUGUCUUUGGUAAGAUCAAGUUGCAUUUUUACCUUGGCAACACUGCCUCUUGUUUUUUGAAAAGAUGCCAAGUCCAGGAACAUGGUCUUACCUAUAUAAGACAGUAGUGGAGUGAGGAUCUCCAUAUAAUAAAGGUGCCAAGGUAGAUCAGGAAUAACAAUCCAUACUGGCACAAUUGAGGAAUCUUCAUUGGGACUAAAAAGAGGUGUCCAAGCUUCAAUUUUCAUCAUUUGUCCUUGAAUGUACAUGAAUUGCUUGUUCCACAUAGUUGCAUGAUCAUAUUCAUUAUCUAGCUCAAUGUAGAUAGUCUUUGAAUUGAAAUGAGCAAUUUUGACUCCUCCCUUGAGCUCUAUUUGGUUUACAAAACUUCUUCUGAUAACAUCCAUCCUAGGCAUAGUAUUAGAGAAUUUCCCUACCACAGUAUACUUGCACCUAGUAGCCAUAGUGCCCAUGUAGUCUUCUCUUUUGAAAACCACUGCAAGUCUGACUUGUUUGGUGGUGAGCUUUGGAGGAGUGAAAUUGAUUGGUGUUCUAUUUGCUUCAAAUUUAGCCCUGAUUUUUGUAGCAUAGGAGUAGGUAACUGUUGUAAGAGAUGGCUCAGUGGUGUUUGGGGGGGUUUUUUUAGCUUGGUCUUUGGAUCCUGAAGGUUGAGGAAUUUCUUUGUUUGCAUUUGGGAUUAAUGAAACAGCAGCUGGUAUUUGUGGAGUUAUGUUUGGUGGGCUUAUUUUCCUGGUAGGUCGAUCAUAAUUGGCAGAGACCUUAGGUUGGUUAUUUGCUGACUUAGGAGGAUUAUAUCUGGGUUGUGGUUGGGACGUUUGAGGUGGUGAUGCCGCAUUGGGCACCUGUGCCCCUGUAGUUGCUGUGCUUUCUUUUUCAUUUGGAUUUUUGGGAAGAAAAUUGUUUGAGGUGUGUUGUGAGUUGAUGGUUCCGUUAGCUACAUCAAGGACAAGUACUUCACCUAGAUUAGCCACAGUUUGAGGCUCAGAUAUUCCUGAAGCAACAAGGCCCUGCACCUGUGUUGCUGCUAUGGAUGGGAGUAGUCGCUCACCAUUUUCUAUGGUGAUUUCUCAUGACGACUAGUUUCAAUAUGACCUUGUGUAGCACUACCAUUUAUUUGUUCAUUAAAAUCAGAAGCAAAACUAACCUGGGCAUUUCGUUGAACACCUGAAAAAGUGGAGUCUGCUGAAAUGGUUUUUAAAACAUUCGAGAAGUUUGGCUCGAUGGAGAUUGGAUUUGAUGAUUGAGAAACAAUCUCUUGAGCAUUAGGAAUCAUUUGGCAUUGGUCUUGGGCCAAUUGGUAUACGAGAACACCCUCCCCGGCCAACUGGUGCAAUUUUGGGCUCUUUGAUUCAUAAUGGUGAUCAAUUCCUUUGUUAGAUUGGUCAAAAACUUUGCAAGCAAGUUCCUUAGAUGUUUGAGAAGGACCAACGGCCAAUUGGCUUCAAUUUGGCUCAGAAUUGGAAGAGUCAUUUCGUCGAACACCUGUAUUACUCAGGCUGCCAGAUUCAUUUGAUUGCAAAAUUGAGGCUUGUGUUUGAUACCCAUGUAAAAUUGGAGGUGCAAUUAGGUUCCUCUCAUCAAGGUGAGCACUUUGGUACCAAUCUUUUUCCAAUUGAACAUCUUGAACACUAUGCACGACCAUUUCUGACACGCCGGCGAUCUACAGUGCGUCAGAGACGAUGGUUCCCACGGUGGAAUUCCUUGAAAAUUGGUGGGGAGGUGCGCUUUGUGAUGGGAAAGAGUUUCCACGGUUUGGAAUUUUUAAAUUUGGCCCAUAAAUCGCUUGGGAAAUAUCAGAACCUUCCAGGCGACUUUUAUGAACAGUGAUCUCUAUGCCAUUUUUGAGAUGUACUCCGACUGGGUUAAUGUUUUGGACCGAGGUUUAUUGGGGUAGAUGCGCAUUAAUGGGACACACAUUUUGGAGGUGGUCCGGUGGUUUUUGGCCACCAGACGGCAGAGCAGUGGCCAUAAAGGCGCACAUGCAUUACUGUAUCGGCAGAUCGUUUGUACAAAGAGUGUUUGGAAUUUUUUUGGGCGGGUGGCGCGGAUUCGGAUAGCAGAUAUUAAAAUCCCAAAUUGAGGGUUAGAGUAUUAUUUUCAUAUUUGAGUUGUAGAGCUCGGUUUUGGGCGAUCUUGGAUGGUAUUUUCACGUCUUGGAUCGGGGUAAGUGUUUUUGACUUAGAUAUGUUAAUAUUUCAUGAUUCCAUCUUCGUUUUUAGAAUUUAAUCAGUGAAUGAAAGUGAAGGAAUGGGGGAUUUUGUGGAAACUUUUCAAUAAUGAAAAAUGGAGGUUUGAAGGUCGAUUUGAGGUCGGAAUUAGAUGAUUUUGAUAUGCUUGGACUCGUAAUCUAAUGAGUGUCCGAAUUUUGUAAAUUUUGUCAGGUUCCAAGGUGUGAGUCCGGGGUUGACUUUUUGAUUUUUUAUAAAGAUCAAAACUUUACGAUUUGAAAUUGCUUCUUACGGAAUUUUUUUGUUGAUAUUGAGUUCUUAGUGACUAGAUUCGAGUCGUUUAGAGGCUGAUAUGCAUGGGAAGGGCUUGUUGGAGUUGUGAUUUGCGUGGUUUGAGAUAAGUAACAUAUCUAAACUUGGAGUUAAGGGCAUUUAACCCUAAGGACUAUGUUGUAUGAAAGAUAUUGGGGUGACGUACGUGCUUGGUGACAGGCGUGUGUGAGUGCACCAGUUUGUUCAUUGUUUGGGGAGGCCUUUAGGCUAAUACCAGACUUGUUUAUUAUCAUAUUAUAUUAUCCCCAUGUCCCCUCUACUUGUUUGAUUAUUUGAAUUGUGAAUCAUGUUAGACAUCAUAUCUAGGCUAUGUGCUAACUAUUUGAGACUUGAUAGGGCUAUUCUUGUUGUUUCUAAGUUAAAUACCUUAUUUGCACACAUGUUCUCAAUCAUGAUACUAUAUCCGAGUAUGAUAACUUUGUUUCAGUACUUCUUAUUUGAAUCCUCACAUGCUGCUGAUAUCGCUUAGGGGUAAAACUGUUUAAUUGAAUAUUUGAGAUAUGCUCAUUUGAGACUUGAAUGGUAAAUAACUGAGUUUGGGCCUUAUAGCCAGUUUGGUACUAAUUUUGAGGUGACGCAUACGCCAGUCCAAUAUUGGGCUGAGUGUUAUUAUUUUGAGGCGACGCAUGCACCAUGUCUCAUUAUUGGGCUAAGUAAUUAUAAUUAGUGCCUGGGCAGGAUUAGCCCCUCCGGAGUCUGACAUGCCAGUAGUGGGCGCAGGCAUAUUAUUUCAUAUAUGUACUUGAUGAUAGACAGUUAUGUCAGGCACCCAUACAGUGCUAAGUGUAAAUACUAUUGGUGGAUCUACUGUGAUACUAUUGAUUUACGUGUAUACUUGACAUGUAGGCGUAGAGAUGUACUUUUCUCAUGCUAACUGGUAUUGACUUGAUUUAUCCGUGUUGGGUUUUAAACUGAUAUACUUGAAAGCAUGCCCAAAUUUCUGAAAUUAGAACGAGUUGUACUUGAUAUCAUUGAUCUACUGUUUAUACGAUUAUCCUGUAUUUUCUGAACUGUUAUCGGUUAUUGGUACUGGCAUUUUACUAUUGUUCUGAGCUCAUCACUGCUUUCAGUCUAAGGUUAGUAUUGUUACUUAUUGAGUACAUUGGUUCGAUUGUACUCACACUACUCUCUGUACUUCGUGUGCAGAUCAAGGUACAUCCAACCGAGGUGAUUUUCAGGCUUGAGUUGUGCCAACUAUUUCGAAGACUAUGAGGUGGCUGCCAUACCGUCUGCAGUCCUUGAAGUUCUCUUCCAGUUAUCUUUAUCUUUACUAUUUGUCAUGUUCAGAAAGUUGUAUUAGAGGAUUUAUUUCGCACCUUGUUAUUCAGUAGUGCUCUGUAUUCUCAUAUAUUUGUUGGUAUUCUUCUAAUGUUGAAUUAUUAGACCAUAUUAUUUUAUUUCCA
rnacentral:lncRNA from 1 species